CGGCUACGUCACGUUGAAACACCGGUUCCCCUACGAUUUCUGAAGUUAAGCAACGUCGAGUCGUGUCAGUAGCUAGAUGGGUGAUCGCAUGAAAAUACCAGGUGCAGUAG